AUGCUUAACACAUGCAAGUCGAACGAUCUCGCAGCUUCGGCUGCAAUGAGAUAGUGGCGAACGGCUGAGUAACACGUAAGCAACCUGCCCUUCGGUGGGGGACAACUCCGGGAAACUGGAAUUAAUACCGCAUAAUAUGGCUUCUCGUAUGGAAAGUCAUUAAAGCCUUCGGGCGCCGAUUGAGGGGCUUGCGGCCUAUCAGCUUGUUGGUGGGGUAACGGCCUACCAAGGCGACGACGGGUAGCUGGUCUGAGAGGAUGAUCAGUCAGAGGGGGACUGGGACACGGCCCCCACUCCUACGGGAGGCAGCAGCAAGGAAUCUUGCGCAAUGGGCGAAAGCCUGACGCAGCGACGCCGCGUGGAGGAUGAAGGCCUUAGGGUUGUAAACUCCUUUUCUGGGAGAAGAAGUUCUGACGGUAUCCCAGGAAUAAGCUCCGGCUAACUACGUGCCAGCAGCCGCGGUAAUACGUAGGGAGCGAACGUUGUCCGAAUUUACUGGGCGUAAAGGGCGUGUAGGCGGCCCGACAAGUCUUCUGUGAAAUCUCACCGCUUAACGGGGAGGGGUCAGGGGAAACUGUUGGGCUUGAGGGCAGUAGAGGAAAGCGGAAUUCCCGGUGUAGUGGUGAAAUGCGUAGAUAUCUGAAGGAACACCAGUGG
rnacentral:rRNA from 1 species